GAUCCGAUAUAGAUGAUGAUACGAUAUAGUUGAUGAUCCGAUAUAGUUGAUGAUCCGAUAUAGCUGUUAAUCCGAUACGGUUUCUAGCUACAGGUGGUUUAUGAUCCGAUAUAGUUAAUGAUCAAAUAAAGUUAAUGAUCCGAUAUAGAUGAUGAUCCUAUAUAGUUAAUGAUCCGAUAUAGAUGAUACGAUAUAGUUGAUGAUCCGAUAUAGUUGAUGAUCCGAUAUAGUUGAUGAUCCGAUAUCGUUGAUGAGCCGAUCUAGUUGAUGAUCCGAUAUAGUUAAUGAUCCGAUAUAGUUAAUGAUCUGAUAUAGUUGAUCCGAUAUAAUCAAUGAUCCGAUAUAAGUAAUGAUCCGAUACGUUAUCUUGGUGUCCAUCAAAAGUAAGUGUCUUUUGGUGUGCUCGUAUGAAGUGAUAUUUAGGGCUUACAGGUGUGGGAUACAGGUAAAAUCAACAGGUGUGGGGCUACAGGUAAGAUCAACAGGUGUGGGCUACAUAUAAGAUCAACAGGUGUGGGUAACAGGUAAGAUCAACAGGUGUGGGGCUACAGGCAAGAUCAACAGUGUGGGCUACAUAUAAGAUCAACAGGUGUGGGUAACAGGUAAGAUCAACAGGUGUGGGGCUACAGGUAAGAUCAACAGGUGUGGGUAACAGGUAGGAUCAACAGAUGUAGGAUACAUUUAAGAUUAACAGGUAUGGGCUACAGGUAAGAUCAACAGGUGUAGGCUACAGGUAAAAUCAACAAGCGUGGGGCUACAGGUAAGAUCAACAAGCGUGGGGCUACAGGUAGGAUCAACAGGCGUGGGUAAAGGUAAGAUCAACAGGUGUGGGCUACAAGUGAGAUCAACACGUGUGGUCUACAGGUAAGAUACAGAUGUGGGCUACAGUAAAAAUCUACAGGUGUGGGCUACCGAUAAGAUACAGGUGUGGACUAUCGAUGAAAUCUACAGGCGUGGGCUACCGAUAAGAUACAGCUGUGGGCUGUAUCCAAAAUCUAUACAUGUGGGCUACAGUUAAGAUCUACAGGUGUGGGCUAUCGAUAAAAUCUACAGGCGUGAGUUACCGAUAAGAUGCAGGUGUGGGCUGUAUCCAAAAUCUACAGAUGUGGACUACAGGUGUGUAAUACAAGAUCAGAAUACAGGUAGAGACUACAACGUAUCUUAAAUUCUUCCCAUGAUCUUUUUUUAUUGUAAUUUUUAUUUUGUUGUAUUUUGUCUCUAUACUGUAUGUUUGUAUAUAAUGAUUCAUAAACAUUGUAUCAUUAUUCAUGUUUGUAUAUAAUGAUUCAUAAGCAUUGUAUCAUUAUUCACUCAUGUAACUUUUUUUUUCCGAAAUAAAGUUCCCAUGACAUGAA